rnacentral:precursor_RNA from 8 species
AGCACCCUGAUUGUGUACUGUCUGUCCAGUGCCCCUUUUAUAUUGUACUACUGAUAACCCAGUUAUUAAAGCAGUGCAAUGUUAAAAGGGCAUUGGCCAGGGAUUUUUCUCAAAGGUAGGGUC